GACGAACGCUGGCGGCGCGCUUAACACAUGCAAGUCGAACGGAAAGGCCUGCUUUCCCUUGUGGAUUGCGGGUACUCGAGUGGCGAACGGGUGAGUAACACGUGAGUGAUCUGCCCCCAACUUGGGUAUAAGCCUGGGAAACUGGGUCUAAUUCCCGAUAGGACUGCAGGGUGGUGCCUGUGGUGGAAAACGAUUUUCUAGUGGUUGGGGAUGAGCUCGCGGCCUAUCAGCUUGUUGGUGGGGUAAUGGCCUACCAAGGCGGCGACGGGUAGCCGGCCUGGGAGGGUGGACGGCCACAUUGGGACUGAGAUACGGCCCAGACUCCUACGGGAGGCAGCAGUGGGGAAUAUUGCACAAUGGGCGGAAGCCUGAUGCAGCGAUGCCGCGUGGGGGAUGACGGCCUUCGGGUUGUAAACUCCUUUCGACCGCGAGGAAGCCACCUGGUUGGAAGGGUGGUGACGGUAGUGGUAGAAGAAGCACCGGCUAACUACGUG
rnacentral:rRNA from 1 species